rnacentral:rRNA from 1 species
UACGGGGGGGGCAAGCGUUGUUCGGAAUUACUGGGCGUAAAGGGCUCGUAGGCGGCCAACUAAGUCAGACGUGAAAUCCCUCGGCUUAACCGGGGAACUGCAUCUGAUACUGGAUGGCUUGAGUUCGGGAGAGGGAUGUGGAAUCCAGGUGUAGCGGUGAAAUGCGUAGAUAUCUGGAGGAACACCGGUGGCGAAGGCGGCAUCCUGGACCGACACUGACGCUGAGGAGCGAAAGCCAGGGGAGCAAACGGG